CCUACGGGAGGCAGCAGUGGGGAAUAUUGGGCAAUGGGCGCAAGCCUGACCCAGCAACGCCGCGUGAAGGAAGAAGGCUUUCGGGUUGUAAACUUCUUUUGUCAGGGAAGAGUAGAAGACGGUACCUGACGAAUAAGCCACGGCUAACUACGUGCCAGCAGCCGCGGUAAUACGUAGGUGGCAAGCGUUGUCCGGAUUUACUGGGUGUAAAGGGCGUGUAGCCGGGUUGACAAGUCAGAUGUGAAAUCCUGCGGCUUAACCGAAGAACGGCAUUUGAAACUGUUGAUCUUGAGUACUGGAGAGGCAGACGGAAUUCCUAGUGGAGCGGUGAAAUGCGUAGAUAUUAGGAGGAACACCAGUGGCGAAGGCGGUCUGCUGGACAGCAACUGACGGUGAGGCGCGAAAGCGUGGGGAGCAAACAGGAUUAGAUACCCCUGUAGUC
rnacentral:rRNA from 1 species